UCAAGCGUGAGGUAAGGGCAAUUCGUGGAUGCCUUGGCGCAUACAGGCGAUGAAGGACGUGGCACGCUGCGAUAAGCUGCGGUGAGGUGUGAGCAACCUUUGACCCGCAGAUUUCCGAAUGGGGAAACCCACCUAUCCCGUUUAACUUGCAUGUUCGGGUAACUGAGCAGGCAAGCUAAAUGGGGCUAGGUAUCACUUAGCUGAAUACAUAGGCUUCGUGAAGCGAACCCGGCGAACUGAAACAUCUCAGUAGCUGGAGGAAAAGACAUCAACCGAGAUUCCGUUAGUAGUGGCGAGCGAACGCGGACCAGGCCAGUGCCGACAAGUGAAUUAGCAGAACGAUUUGGAAAGAUCGGCCAUAGCGGGUGACAGCCCCGUAUGCGAAAGUGAAAUUGUCGGACUUGAGUAGGGCGGGACACGUGUAAUCCUGUCUGAACAUAGGGGGACCACCCUCUAAGCCUAAAUACUCGUAUGCGACCGAUAGUGAACUAGUACCGUGAGGGAAAGGUGAAAAGCACCCCGAUGAGGGGAGUGAAACAGUACCUGAAACGGAUUGCCUACAAGCAGUUGGAGGGUCCUUGAGGCCUGACAGCGUACCUCUUGCAUAAUGGGUCUGUGACUUAAUGUAUCAAGCAAGCUUAAGCCGUUAGGUGUAGGCGCAGCGAAAGCGAGUCUGAAUAGGGCGCCAGAGUUUGAUGUAUUAGACCCGAAACCCGGCGAUCUAGGCAUGACCAGGAUGAAGGUGCGGUAACACGCACUGGAGGUCCGAACCGAUUAACGUUGAAAAGUUACCGGAUGAGUUGUGUUUAGGGGUGAAAGGCCAAUCAAGCCGGGAAAUAGCUGGUUCUCCGCGAAAACUAUUGAGGUAGUGCCUCGAGCGAAUACCGUAGGGGGUAGAGCACUGGAUGGAUGCGGGGGUCGCGAGACCUACCAACUCUAACCAAACUCCGAAUACCUACGAGUACUACUCGGGAGACAGACGGCGGGUGCUAAGGUCCGUCGUCAAAAGGGAAACAGCCCUGACCUACAGCUAAGGUCCCCAAGUCAUCACUAAGUGGGAAAGCAUGUGGAACUUCCAAAACAACCAGGAGGUUGGCUUAGAAGCAGCCAUCCUUUAAAGAAAGCGUAACAGCUCACUGGUCUAAAUAAGAGAUCCUGCGGCGAAAAUGUAACGGGGCUAAAGAUAUGUACCGAAGCUUAGGGUGUGCAAUUUAUUGCAUGCGGUAGCGGAGCGUUCCGUAGGCCGAUGAAGCGAUCUGGUAAUGGGUCGUGGAGGUAUCGGAAGUGCGAAUGCAGACAUGAGUAGCGAUAGGAGGGUGAGACACCCUCCCGCCGAAAGACCAAGGGUUCCUGCUUAAAGCUAAUCUGAGCAGGGUAAGCCGGCCCCUAAGACGAGCCCGAAGGGGGUAGUCGAUGGGAACCACGUUAAUAUUCGUGGGCCUGGUGGUGUGUGACGGAUCUCGUGAGUUGUCAGUCCUUAUUGGAUUGGACUGGCUUCGAAGAGGUUCCAGGAAAUAGCCCCACCGUAUAGACCGUACCCGAAACCGACACAGGUGGUCAGGUAGAGUAUACCAAGGCGCUUGAGAGAAGUGUCCUGAAGGAACUCGGCAAAUUGCCUCCGUACCUUCGGAAGAAGGAGGCCCUCAUUGUGCGCAAGCAUUUUGAGGGGGCACAGGCCAGGGGGUAGCGACUGUUUAGCAAAAACACAGGGCUCUGCUAAGUCGGCUUCAAGACGACGUAUAGGGCCUGACGCCUGCCCGGUGCCUGAAGGUUAAGUGGAGGGGUGCAAGCUCUGAAAUGAAGCCCAGGUAAACGGCGGCCGUAACUAUAACGGUCCUAAGGUAGCGAAAUUCCUUGUCGGGUAAGUUCCGACCU
rnacentral:rRNA from 1 species